UGGACACAGGCAUUGGCAUG
rnacentral:misc_RNA from 1 species